ensembl:lncRNA BAALC-AS2 BAALC antisense RNA 2
GGCCAAUGGAUGAGAAGUCACCCGGCUGGCGAGCAAGCUUUGGACAAGGCCAAAGAGCAUUGGGCUGCUGGAAGCUGGGGCAUCGGCGCAGCCUUCGGGGUGAACUUACGUGCUCGCUGACAAUGUCCUUAAAGUCCUGGCAUCCUCAGAGCAAGACAAAAAGAGUGGGGGCAAGCGAAGGUAACCCCCAGUGGGGCUCUGGAAGUAUGGAGGCCCCUCUCCUUUCCUCCUUCCUUCCACCUCUGGCCAGCGAGGCAGAACUCACAGGCAACACCUGGUUUCUGCACAGAUGCAGCUGCAUUUUGAACCUAGAGGAAAGCAUGGACAGCGACUGGGGGGCUUGGUGGGGGGUGUCGCUCCCUAGAAGGGCACCUUUUCUGAUAUAUGGGUCAGAUGGGCCUUGGUGCACACAGGCAGGCUUCCCAGGAUGGGGACAUUGACAAGGAGGCAACAGUCCUCUCUCCUCCACUCCAGUGACUAAUAAAAGCUAACAUUUAUGUAGCA